UUUUGUUUAUGAUUUAGUGUUGUCUUUGAAUUAUAAAAUGGUACUUUUAAAUUUGGCAAAUUGAAAACAGUUCAUUACAACUUACAAGGGGGUAUUAACUUUCUUUUUAGUAUAGAAAGUUGUUAACUUUUGUUUCUUUUCUUUUUCUGUAACUGGGUUUGUGUGGUUCUUUCCUUUUCUAGUGCUCGCUUCGUUUUUGGAUGUAAUAUUUGUGAUUUCGACUUGUUCUAAUAUAAUGUUCCUGUUAUUUGACAGGAAGCAUUGCAAAAACUAGGAUUUUACUCGGGUGAGGAAGACAUGGAGUCUUCCAGCUUCUCAAUCGGGACCGAACGUGCUGUCAAGUCAAGACUUGGCAAGCCUCCUUAGACGCCCCUCAAGAUGGCAUAAUGACUGCAGAACUUCUUGAACGGCAGCACAAAUUGAGGGUCUGGAUAACAAAGAUUGUAAAGAAUUGUAGCAAACAGUACUAAGUACCAACCAAGAAGCUCUGUUACUUAAUUGAGAAACGAACCUGAAGCUCCGACUCUAUUUUCAGUAACUCAGACAUGAGGUUUCUUGGUUCCAGUUCACGAGACAAUCACUUAACAUGCAAAUAAAUACAAUAUGAAAGUGACGUAAUGUGCUGUGGUAACAGGAAGAUACAAAUGGACUGCAGUUACUUCUGCAACAGAAAUUUCAGAGGUCCAGCAAACACUUGUGAAAGAAGGUGUUACAGAAGUAGAGGUAUCUGAGCAUCGUGUUUUUCUCCUUGGAAAGAACCGCUGGGAAGAUUCUUCUAGACUUAGCAGGAACCAAAAAAAAGGAGGUGAAAGCAAGACAAUGAAUACCACAACAAGGUGUCUUACUUGUGGAGGGGAGGGUCGCUUAUUGGGCACGGAAUGUGAUGGAACAGGCGAGCCAAACAUUGAAGAACAGGUUAGAGGUUUCAAACGGAGAUAUUAAUACUCUCAUUUUCGAGCAUUAUCCAUUCAGGAUGAAGUUUUAA